rnacentral:rRNA from 1 species
AUGCUGAAGAAGUUAGAGGAAUGGACUAACAGAAUACAAGGAAAUAAAUAUUUCUCUAAAUUCGACUUAAACGCAAGAUUUUGGCAAGUAAAAAUGGCUGAAGAAUCUAUUCCUUGGACAACAUUUACUUGUCCACAAGGCCACUAUGAAUGGCUAGUUAUGCCAUUAGGUCUAAAGAAUGCACCUACACUAUUUCAAAGAAAUAUGCAAAAUAUAUUCAAUGAGAAUCAAGCAUUUAUAUUGGUAUAUGUAGAUGAUUUGUUAGUAUUCUCAAAAUCAUACAAAGAGCAUAUAGCCCAUCUUGAAGUGUUCUUUAGAAAGGUAGACCAAAAUGGACUCAUACUAUCCAAAAAGAAGAUGGAAAUUUGCAAAGAAAAAAUAAAUUUCCUUGGUCAUGAAAUAGGAGAAGGAAAGAUAUAUCUACAAGAACAUAUUGCAAAGAAAAUAUUAGAGUUUCCUGAUAAUAUGAGUGAUAAAAGGUUUUACAGCAGAUCUUAG